rnacentral:rRNA from 1 species
CCUACGGGUGGCUGCAGUGGGGAAUAUUGGUCAAUGGGCGAAAGCCUGAACCAGCAAUGCCGCGUGAGUGAUGAAGGCCUUCGGGUUGUAAAGCUCUGUCAGUGGGAACGAAUAAACCGAUUAAUACCCGGCGAUGACGGUACCCACAAAGGAAGCACCGGCUAACUCUGUGCCAGCAGCCGCGGUAAUACAGAGGGUGCAAGCGUUGUUCGGAAUUACUGGGCGUAAAGCGCGUGUAGGCGGUCCUUCAAGUCGGACGUGAAAUCCCUGGGCUUAACCCAGGAACUGCGUUCGAAACUGCUGGACUAGAGUAUCGGAGGGGAUGGUGGAAUUCCUGGUGUAGAGGUGAAAUUCGUAGAUAUCAGGAGGAACACCUGUGGCGAAGGCGACCAUCUGGAAGAUUACUGACGCUGAGACGCGAAAGCGUGGGGAGCAAACAGGCUUAGAUACCCUAGUAGUC